CGAUGUGUACACGUUUUUCGCGCAUAUAAACAUCACGGGAUCCCGACUCCCAGGCUCAGUGAAGGCAGCCGAAAAUGCAGGUUUGAUGAAGUUUUCCCAAUGGGCUUUAGCACAAGUUGCGUCCAACGUUACACCUAUCGGCCAAUGAUUGCACUCGUGAAUGGCGAAUUGAAGGAGGAAUCAAUAAAAUUACCACAUUCAUGCAAAUGCGUAAUAAAAUUUCAAUUUGGAAAAUUAUGAAGUCUAUCUUCAAAAUGAAAUACUCUACUUAGGACUUUAGAAAUGACAACGGAUUAUGAUGGUUAAAUUUCUAUAUAUAGCCGUGAAACAAAUUUUGUGCAAAUAUUAUAUACUCAUAAUAUAAAUAUAUCGGUUUGGGGUAGUUUUACUACAGGAACAAAAACAUA